AAGCCUCCGGCCCUUGUAGCAGCUUAGCACUGAAUUAAGACAGACAAUUAGUAUGUAGCAGUCAGUAGAGGCUGAGUGUACAGAACACAGAGUGGUGAGGACCUGGGAACAAGGCGAACUGAGGAUGCUGGUCAAUGACAAAUGCACGCCAGGCACUGAGAAGAAGGGUGUCUGUGCUCUGCCUUAGUAGGAAACCACCACAGAGAGUUUGAUGAUUUUUUUUUCCCCCCAGAAGAGAAAAGAAAACAUACAGAAAGAGGAAAAAACAAAGCAGCAUCAGUGGAAAUGAAAUGCCUGGGAGCAAUGACUGAGGCAACCUUAAGCACUGCUGUGAGGGAGAAGGAAAUGGUUUGCCUGAGCUGAUCAUGCAGAAAAAAAAAAAAACCCAACAGCAAAGGAAACAGCAUUUCUAGGAGGCACAGACUGGAGGAGAUGGAUCACAGGGUGAAGUAUCAGUUUACUCAUGCAGUCUGUUCCCAAGGCAGAGGCCAGUUUUGCUGACAUAUGUGCCCACUUAGAUGCAGAGUCUCAGGACCGAACAAAAGGCUGCUACGCUCAAAACGUGUGGACAUGCCUGCCACAUGAAGUGCAAAAUUCAAAGAGCAAAAGGGGCAGCCUCCCAAGUGCUGAAGAUGGAUUGCACGGUAACAGAAAGAAAAAAAAAAACCAAAAAACAAAAGAAAGAGAGAGUUCAAAAUGAGAGGAGCUGAUGCUUACAACUGAACUAAGCCUCAUGUUUCCUCCUGUAAGAUGAUGUCCAUUUCUUCCUCCCUCAAGCCCCCAAAUAAUUUCAGUUUCACAGUGUACCCAGUAAUGGCACUUUUGCCCUGUAUUUCUCAUGCCUGAGAUGUAACAGAUGCUCCCAACCAGGCGUGCUGGCUAGUUAAACAUGGCACAUCCAGUGCUGCCAUUCCCAGAAGGUCUGAUGAGGACUUCACUUCUACAUUUACAGGAGGUUCUACCACAUUAAAACCUCGUGGUUUUAUUUUUCAGGGACAAAACUUGCAGGCUGGCAAGCAAUGAAGCUCUUGCAUGUGGCUAUAAAAACAGGUAAAUAAAAUAUUCCAUAGGAAAAGAAAAUAUGAGCAAUGGGAGCUAUUAAAAUUGCUGCCCAUUCCUGGCAGCUUCUGACCACAUGGACCAAUUUCCAGUCUUCCUUCCUUCAGUGCCAUUAUGUAACGGAGAGAUUUAAUAAACAUUUCACAGCCAAAACAGUCCUUGUCUCCUUGAUGCAUUGUCUUCACCACUGCAGCUAAGAGAAUUUGCAGGAGGAUGCAGACCCGACUCUUGAUGUUCUCAGAGUUUUUAACUAAAGGGAAUUUAGGAAAAAAAUCAAAAGACUCAUCCAACUUCACAGACCUUGCCUUUACACAAGACAGACUUUGGCUGAAUAAUGGCAACGCAACAACAACAAAACAGAAAGCUCUAGAUACACUAGCAACUCUAAAGUAAACAAAAUUUAACGUAAAAGCACUGAUGAAAAUCCUCAAAGAAAAUGGCUAUAAAACCAGUGAUUGGAAACGAUGCUGACAGCAUUAAUACAACUAACCUUCAGCCACAGGUUGUAAUUUGAUUUUGUUGUUGCAUUAUUAUGAUUUCUUAAUAGAGAAAUGGUGUUUGCUUUAAAAAUAGAACAAAAUAAAAACCUUUAAUAAUUCUUAUCAAUCCAAAAUCUUACCAGACUCUCUUAUGACUUCUCUUCGCAGUUAUUCAAUAGUACUAAAAAGUUGUAUGAUGGGACAGAAAUCACU